UACAGAGGGUGCGAGCGUUAAUCGGAAUUACUGGGCGUAAAGGGUGCGUAGGUGGUUGCAUAAGUUAGGUGUGAAAGUCCUGGGCUUAACCUGGGGACUGCGCCUAAGACUGUGUAGCUAGAGUACUGUAGAGGGAGGUGGGAUUUCCAGUGCAGCGGUGAAAUGCGUAGAUAUUGGAAGGAACAUCGGUGGCGAAGGCGACCUCCUGGACAGAUACUGACACUGAGGCACGAGAGCAUGGGGAGCAAACAGG
rnacentral:rRNA from 1 species